AGGACGAACGCUGGCGGCGUGCCUAACACAUGCAAGUCGAGCGAUGAAGUUCUUCGGAACGGAUUAGCGGCGGACGGGUGAGUAACACGUGGGUAACCUGCCUUGUAGAGGGGGAUAGCCUUCCGAAAGGAAGAUUAAUACCGCAUAACAUCUUUUUAUCGCAUGGUAGAAAGGUCAAAAGGAGCAAUCCGCUACAAGAUGGACCCGCGGCGCAUUAGCUAGUUGGUGAGGUAACGGCUCACCAAGGCGACGAUGCGUAGCCGACCUGAGAGGGUGAUCGGCCACAUUGGAACUGAGACACGGUCCAGACUCCUACGGGAGGCAGCAGGUGGGGAAUAUUGCGCAAGUGGGGGGAAAAACCCCUGACGCAGCAACGCCGCGUGAAUGAAGAAGGCCGUUAGGGUUGUAAAGUUCUGUUUACGGGGACGAUAAUGACGGUACCCGUGGAGGAAGCCACGGCUAACUACGUGCCAGCCGCUGC
rnacentral:rRNA from 1 species